GUCGAUGGCAGUCUUCUUGUGAUGACACCUCAUCACACUCUCGAGGAUGUAGACCAGCCCAAGCUUCAAUCUAUCUAGCAUCUGGUCGCACCCCCUGAUCGCGACCAUCAAGUCGGGUAGAAGCAUCGACCCAUGUCCCUGAAAGUAUGUCUCGUACAGCCUAUUGCUUCUCUCAUUGGCUGUAUCGUCGCCCGUAAUCCUUAGUCCAGUGAUCAAUGUAAACUCAAAUGUCGAGAAACUGACGACCUUAACCCCGAGGUCAAACUGGAGGGAAUCGCCGUCGACUGGCUUUAGAAGCCGACAUAGAAGUGCAUCAAUGAUCUGUCCUCAG
rnacentral:lncRNA from 1 species